ensembl:lncRNA
GACGCAGUGUGUUUAGAGUGGAAGGACCACUGUCUUCAAUUCAAAGUUGGCUAAACAUGGCAGCUUUUCAGAAGUCUAGUCGCAGAAAAGAAGAUAAACAUAGUAGAUAGCUGGCAAAGAACACAACAACAACUACAAUCAAGCAUUUGCAAGACUGGCAAUGAGUCUCUCACAGCACUAUGGUGGAAUUAUGGCCCACUCAUCUGUGCAGAUUUGUAUUAAUUUGGCCACACUGGAGCGUUUUUAAGCAUAAACCACCUUUUUAAUGUCAUGUCACAGUAUGUCAAUCGGAUUCGGGUCAGGACUUUCACUAGGCAACUCUGAAGUCUUCAUUUUGAUUUUUCUUAAGCCAUUCAGAAAUGGACUUACUGAUGUGUUUUGGAUCACUGUCCUGCUGCAGAACCCAAGUGUGCUUCAGCUUGAGGUCACGAACGGAUGGCUGGACAUUGUCCUUCCGAAUGUUUUGGUCGACUGCAGAAUUCAUCGUUUCAUUUACAACAGCAAGUCUUCCAGGUGUUCAAACAGCAAAACUGGGACCGGCUGUUCCUUUUGCUCAGCAGUGGUUUUCCUCUUGUAACUCUGCCAUGCAGGCCAUUUUU